rnacentral:lncRNA from 1 species
AUGCCUGUCUUCUGUCUACCCAACAAUUUCAUAGAUCUUGGCAGAGAUUACAAGUAUGAAGCCAAGUACAUGAAGACUGUUCCUCGGCCAAGAACCUUCAUCUGGUUAUUGUCGUCAAAUAAAUCAAUAUAUGUUUAAGCCUUCUGGUCUUUGUAAAAGCCUUAAAAUAUGUAUUGGCUAAAACUGAAUGUAGGGCUAGAGAGAGGGCUCAGAAGUUAAGAAUACUGGCUACACUUGCAGAGGAAAAUUCCCAGCAUCCAUCCGGUGGUUCAUGAUCAUCUACAACCCCAGCUCCAGGGGCUCUGGGCAUGUGCACAGUGUAUGUCCAUAGCUGAAGGCAAACACUCAUAAGUAAAACUUAAAGAUUGGCCAGGUGCUGGUGACAAAUGCCUUUAAGCACUAUGGGGGCAGAGCCAAGCAGAUCUUUAUGAGUUCAAGGCCAGCCUGGUCUCCAGAGCCCGUUCCAGGAUAGUCAGGGUUAUACAAAAUCAAAAUCAAAAAUUGGAGUAGGGGCUGGCAAAAUGGCCCAGUGAUUAGAAGCACUUCUCUUCCAGAGGACCUGAGUUUGGUUAGCAACUCCUGUGUCAGGUGGUCUGAUGAGACUCUAACUCCAGCUCCAAAGACCUAUGAUGCUUCUGAGGGCACCUGCACUCCGGUGCACAUUGGUACACACAGCUACAUAUAAUUAAUUUUAAAACUUUUAAGAGGAGUGUGGUUCAACCCUUUAGGGUUUCCAAAUGUGUGCACAACACACACACAUAGUCUAAAAGUUGGGGAACUGGGUCAGUACACAGUGUUUACUGGAUACAUAUAUCUAAGUUUAAGUUCCAAGCACCCAGUGAAAGGCAGAGGAGCUCACUUUAUAAUCCCAGUGCUGAGGGGUGGGGGGAGACAGACAGACAGACAUCCUAGAGGCUGGCUGGCCAGCUAAACUAGCUGAAAAGGUAAGUUCUGGAGUCCACAAAAAAUGUCUCGGGGAUGGAGAGAUGGCUCAACAGAUAAAAAGCACUGGCUGCUCUUCCAAAGGUCCUGUAGUUGAAUUCCCAGCAACCAUAUGGUGGCUCACAACCAUCUGUAAUGGUGUCUGAUGCCCUCCUCUGUGUGUGUCAGAAGAGAGGGGUUGGGGAAGAGACAGUGUUUCAAAAAAAAAUAAAUAAAGUAAUGGACAGAAGCUGGGGACCCCU